ACACAAGAGAAUUGGAGCGAAGUUGGAACAACAAAGACCCAAGGAAGCGAUCAUAAGGUAUGCUCAUGAUUCUUGCCUCCUAGUUCAUUCAAUAGUCGAAAUCUAGGGAAAGAGUAUUAUUCUGUCUUGCUUUGUUCUAGAUCUAGGUGGAUCUAGGGAGAUUUAUUUGUGUCCAUACUUAUGGAUUUAUCCAAUAACACUGGGUGGACCAGUCCCCGGUGCAGAUCUUGGUGGUAGUAGCAAAUAUUCAAAUGAGAACUUUGAAGACUGAAGUGGGGAAAGGUUUCAUGUGAACAACACUUGGACAUGGGUUAGUUGAUCCUAAGAUAUGGGGAAUCCCUAUAUCAAGGGUUCACUUUGCACAAACAUCGAAAGGGAAUCAUGUUAAUAUUCCUGAACUGGAACAUGGCACCGGACAACAACAUUAGAAAUCCAGAGAUGUCGUCGGGGGCCCCGGGAAGAGUUAUUUUUUCUUUUUAACAACUUUCCCACCCUGAAAUCAGCUCAACCAGAGAUAAGGUCCAACAGCUGGAAGAGAAUCACAUGUCUUGUGGUGUCCGGUGCUCCCUUGGUGACCCUUGAAAAUCUGGAGUACCAAGUAUCAUCCAUGCCUGGUUGUACUCAUAAUCACAUCAGGUCUCCAAGGUGAACAACCUUUGGUC
rnacentral:ncRNA from 1 species